rnacentral:lncRNA from 1 species
GCAGUCUUUUCUAUCAUCUCCCUCUGCAGGCUCUCUGUUGGUUGUUUUGCUUCUGAGUCUGAGAAUUUGUCUUCUGUGUUUGGAAAGCGCUUCUCUUGUCUGGCAGGAACUUUCCCCAAGACUUCUUGCACCUACUGUGCCAGCCUGGGACCUAGGACUGGUCCCCAAGACCUGCCUGGGCCGUUGGAGGCAGCGAUGCCCUGGUGCAGGGAUUUUAUCCUUCCUAGUAGAGGCUAGGCAUCACUCACAACAUCUACUGUGCAGAAGUGGCAGGGACAGUGGCUGCAGCUGUAGUUUCAAGGGCUAGCGCUGGUGACUACAGGUUGGAUCAUUUUGGUUUGGGAGUGCUCUCCCUGCCUUUGCUCCUGUCUCCUCAGCUUAGUUGUGCAUCCUGCCCAGCAACUCCGCGAAGCUGCCUGAUGUCUUACUGAUGCAUCCAUUUUCUCUGAAAAUCAGAACCGUGGUCUAUAGCUUGCCCUGGGUGCCUAACACUUGUGCCUCAAGCUUCCAGCGCCACAAGAGUUAGCUAGCACCUUUCCUACACUGCGGAGAACGUGACAGGCUACAGAUCAGUUUGUGUGGGACCAGGAGCUUCCUGUGU